rnacentral:rRNA from 1 species
AUUGAACGCUGGCGGCAGGCCUAAUACAUGCAAGUCGAGCGGAGCGGUGGACGGGUGAGUAAUGUCUAGGUAUCUGCCUGGUAGUGGGGGAUAAUGUCCGGAAACGGGCGCUUAUACCGUACACUAUCAGAUGAGUCUCUGGGGGAGUAGCGAGUUGGUGGGGUAAGGGCAGAGCAAGGCGACGAUCCGUAACUGGUCUGAGUGGAUGAUCAGUCACGCUGGAACUGGGACACGGUCCAAAAUACUACGGGAGGCAGCAGUGGGGAAUAUUGGACAAUGGGCGAAAGCCUGAUGCAACCAUGCCGCGGGUGUGAAGAAGGUCUACGGAUUGUAAAGCACUUUAAGUGGGGAGGCGUUGCCAACAGAAUAAGCAACGGCUAACUGCGUGCCAGCGGCCGCGGUAAUAC